ACAACGGCCCUUUUCAGGGCCCAUAUUUUCUUCAGGAAUGUCU
rfam:Octopus bimaculoides Scaffold36724_contig_97, whole genome shotgun sequence.